GCCCGCGUGGCGAAAUUGGAUAUCGCUUCGGACUUCUAUGAUUGAUAAAGCCAUCCGAGGACUGCGGGUUCGAGCCCCGUCGCGGGUA
rfam:Absidia glauca strain CBS 101.48 genome assembly, contig: contig_948